CCUACCACCAAAUCCUCCUGCUUACCCCUUAGAGGGGAGGACAGGGACCCCAGGAGCCCCCAAGUCCGUGGCACAAAGAUGCUGGCCUAUCAACAGGCCUGGGGCAGGAGGGAUACCCAACAGAGCCAUCGGACUGCAACAGCCACCCUCGCCCUCAAUGCACAAGACUCACACUUCCCAUCCUUGGGAAUAGGCUGAAUUAAAGCCCGCUGCCUAAAGCUGUACCGCAACUAUGGGACUAACCGCUAACAACAGUUGCCACUGAUGGGACCUCUAUAUAUGACUCACAUGGGCCAGCCUGACUGGGUUCACGCAGUCAGCAAGCACACAUGCUCAGCCUGUUAAUGCUAUAUGUGACUCACCCAUACAUAACAGCUAGACCUAGCCUGUAUCAAUCAGCUCAUAUGUUAUCUUAUGGUAUUCACAGUAACUUUAGCGAGGAGCUGUUCAGUUAUAGCUGUUGUGACUGUUACGAUAAGCUACCUUUUCAUCUUAAUUUUAUUGACUUCUACCUAUAUGUGACUCACCCAUGUAUAACAGCUGGACCUAGCUUGUAUCACUCAGUUCAUAUGUUAUCUUAUGGCAGUCACAGCAACUUUAGCGAGGCUAUAUUCAGUUAUGGCUGUUAU